AUUUGGUUUGAGGGCUAAGCUCCACCACAUGAGUUCAAGUCAUGGCAGAGGAGAAGAGUAGAAGAAGAAGAUGAUUAAGGACAAGAUCAUAUAUGUAUGUAUAUAUAUAUAAGUUCGUCCACACAUUUGAGGUAUUCUAAAAUACCUCUUCUUUUUUUUUCCUCUCG